rnacentral:rRNA from 1 species
GAUGAACGCUAGCGGCAGGCCUAAUACAUGCAAGUCGAGGGAGAAUGUUGGAUUCGUCUGACAUGAAACCGGCGCACGGGUGCGUAACACGUAUGCAACCUACCUUUAACUGGGGUAUAGCUCAGAGAAAUCUGAAUUAAUCCCCCAUAAGACUACGACAUGGCAUCAUGAUGUAGUUAAAGCUCCAGCGGUUAAGGAUGGGCAUGCGGUACAUUAGCUAGUUGGUGAGGUAAUGGCUCACCAAGGCUACGAUGUAUAGGGGGUCUGAGAGGAUGAUCCCCCACACUGGUACUGAGACACGGACCAGAAUCCUACGGGAGGCAGCAGUAGGGAAUAUUGGUCAAUGGACGCAAGUCUGAACCAGCCAUGCCGCGUGAAGGAUGAAGGCCCUAUGGGUCGUAAACUUCUUUUAUUAGGGAAGAAAAAACGGGAUGCGUCCUGUACUGACGGUACUUAAUGAAUAAGGAUCGGCUAACUUCGUGCCAGCAGCCGCAGUAA